rnacentral:rRNA from 1 species
GAUGAACGCUGGCGGCGUGCUUAAUACAUGCAAGUCGAACGGAGACUGUAGCAAUACUGUCUUAGUGGCGAACGGGUGAGUAACGCGUUGGUGACCUGCCCCGAAGAGGGGGAUAACAGUCCGAAAGGAUUGCUAAUACCCCAUGUGGUCGUUUGGAUUAGAUGCCUUACGACUAAACGGAUUUAUUCGCUUCGGGAGGGGCCUGCGUCCCAUCAGCUAGUUGGUAGGGUAAUAGCCUACCAAGGCGAUGACGGGUAGGGACCUGAGAGGGUGGCCCCCCACAAUGGAACUGAAACACGGUCCAUACACCUACGGGUGGCAGCAGUAGGGAAUAUUGGUAAUCUGGGAAACCGGACCAGCAACGCCGCGUGCGCGAUGAAGGCCUUCGGGUUGUAAAGCGCUUUUUAAAGGGAUGAGGAAGGACAGUACCUUUAGAAUAAGCCUCGGCUAACUACGUG